CUGAUCCAGCAAUGCCGCGUGUGUGAAGAAGGCCUUCGGGUUGUAAAGCACUUUUGUCCGGAAAGAAAUCCUUGGCUCUAAUACAGUCGGGGGAUGACGGUACCGGAAGAAUAAGCACCGGCUAACUACGUGCCAGCAGCCGCGGUAAUACGUAGGGUGCGAGCGUUAAUCGGAAUUACUGGGCGUAAAGCGUGCGCAGGCGGUUUGCUAAGACCGAUGUGAAAUCCCCGGGCUCAACCUGGGAACUGCAUUGGUGACUGGCAGGCUAGAGUAUGGCAGAGGGGGGUAGAAUUCCACGUGUAGCAGUGAAAUGCGUAGAGAUGUGGAGGAAUACCGAUGGCGAAGGCAGCCCCCUGGGCCAAUACUGACGCUCAUGCACGAAAGCGUGGGGAGCAAACAGGAUUAGAUACCCUGGUAGUCCACGCCCUAAACGAUGUCAACUAGUUGUUGGGGAUUCAUUUCCUUAGUAACGUAGCUAACGCGUGAAGUUGACCGCCUGGGGAGUACGGUCGCAAGAUUAAAACUCAAAGGAAUUGACGGGGACCCGCACAAGCGGUGGAUGAUGUGGAUUAAUUCGAUGCAACGCGAAAAACCUUACCUACCCUUGACAUGGUCGGAAUCCUGCUGAGAG
rnacentral:rRNA from 1 species